rnacentral:rRNA from 1 species
UACAGAGGUCCCAAGCGUUGUUCGGAUUCACUGGGCGUAAAGGGUGCGUAGGUGGCCAGGUAAGUUCGGUGUGAAAGCUCGGAGCUUAACUCCGAAAUGUCAUUGAAUACUAUCUGGCUAGAGGUCGGAGGGGAGACUGGAAUUCUCGGUGUAGCAGUGAAAUGCGUAGAUAUCGAGAGGAACACCAGUGGCGAAGGCGAGUCUCUGGACGACUCCUGACGCUCAUGCACGAAAGCGUGGGGAGCAAACAGG